ACGGGUGAGUAACACGUGAGCAACCUGUCUCAGAGUCUGGGAUAAGCCAGGGAAACUUGGUCUAAUACCGGAUGUCCUCCUACCUUCUAUGUGGGUUUGAGGAAAGAUUUAUCGCUUUGAGAGGGGCUCGCGGCCUAUCAGCUUGUUGGUGGGGUAAUGGCCUACCAAGGCGUCGACGGGUAGCUGGUCUGAGAGGAUGAUCAGCCACACUGGAACUGAGACACGGUCCAGACUCCUACGGGAGGCAGCAGUGGGGAAUCUUGCGCAAUGGGCGAAAGCCUGACGCAGCAACGCCGCGUGAGGGAUGAAGGCUUUCGGGUUGUAAACCUCUUUCAGCAGGAACGAAAUUGACGGUACCUGCAGAAGAAGCACCGGCCAACUACGUGCCAGCAGCCGCGGUAAUACGUAGGGUGCAAGCGUUGUCCGGAUUUAUUGGGCGUAAAGAGCUCGUAGGCGGUUUUGAAAGUCAGGUGUGAAACCUCCAGGCUCAACCUGGAGACGCCACUUGAUACUUCAAUGACUUGAGUACGGUAGGGGUAAGCGGAAUUCCUGGU
rnacentral:rRNA from 1 species